rnacentral:lncRNA from 1 species
GUCCGCGGCCCGCGGCCCGGGGGGAGGGACGGGGGGCGGGGGGGGAAGGGGCGGCCCGCUGCGGCUGCUGCUGCGCUGCGGCCCCGGCGACACUCUAGCCCCAAGCCCCCCUCUCUGGCCCCCCUCCUCCCCCCCCCUCUGUGUCUCUCUAUUUCUACCCCUGUCUCUCUCUGCCUCCCUGUCUCUUCCUCUCUCCGUGUCUCUGUCUUUCUACUCCUGUCUGUCCCUGUCUCUCUUUGCCUCUGUCUCUAUAUUUCUCUCCCUGUCUGUCUCUGUCUCUCUCUGCCUCUCCCUGUCUCUUCCUCUCUGUCUCUGUAUUUCCAUCCCUGUCUCUCUCUGCCUCUGCCUCUCUCUCCCUGUCUCUCCCUGUCUCUGUCUCUAAAUUUCCACCCCCGCCUGCCUCUGUCUCUCUUUGCCUCUAUCUCUCUCCCUGUCUCUCUUGGUCUGUGUCUCUCUUUGCCUCUGCCUCUCUCUGUCUCUAAAUUUCUACCCCUGGCUCUGUCUCUCUUUGCCUCUGUCUCUCUCUCAUCCUGUCUCUAUAUUUCUAUCCCUGGCUCCCUCUGCCUCUCCCUGUCUCUGUAUUUCUAUCCCCGUCUCUCUCUGUCUCUGUCUCUCUUUGCCUCUGCCCCUCUCUCCCUAUCUCUACCUCUCUCUGUCUCUAAAUUUCUACCCCUGUCUCUGUCUCCCUCCCUGUCUCUGUAUUUCUGUCCCUGUCUCUGCCUCUGUCUCUCCCUCUCCCUGUCUCUUCCUCUCUCUCUGUCUCUGUAUAUCUCUACCCCUGUCUCUCUCUGUCUCUCUUUGCCUCUGUCUCUAUCUCUGCCUCUCAUUGCCUCUGUCUCUGUCUCUCUAUCCCUGUCUCUCUUUGCCUCUGUCUCCAUCUGUCUCUCUUUGCCUGCCUCUAUAUCUCUAUCCCUGUCUCUAUCUCUGACUCUCUUUGCCUGCCUCUCUCUGUCUCUGUAUCUCUCUCCCUGUUUCUUUCUAUCUCUGUCUCUCCAUGUGUCUCUCUGUACCUCUGCCUGUCUCUCUACCCCCAUCUCUCUGUCUCCAUCUCUGUCCCUGUCUCUCGCUGUCUCUCUCGGUUUCUGUCUGCUCUGUCUCUCCCUGACCCUCUUUGUCUUUCUGUAUCAGUCCGUCCGUCUCUGUCUCUUUAACGGCAGUCAUUAA